CUCAGAACCAGAAUGAUGACACAUACCAGACCUUGGCCAGAUCUGAAGUCCAAUGCCAACCAGGUUCAGCGAAGCCCAGGCCACCCACAGGCAAUCCAGAGCCAAGACACACACCUAAAUCCUCUACUGACCCUCAGACAGCUCCUUCUGGAACUCAGAAGGGUUCGCCUUUACAGGCUCUGGGACUAGGACAGGAAGUAAGAUGUGUGAAUGUUUCCUCAUUGGGAUACCCUCAUUUCUGAGCUUGUGACCAACUUCAGUAAGUCAUAUUCAUACAGGAGUGUGACUGCGUGUUCCCAGAAGAGGCGACAGGACCAGAGACUGUGCCUCUGUGGCCGUUUAAGACUUCAGAAAGAAGGCAGGGCCUGGGUGUUAUUGGCAUGAAUAAGCAUCAGUUAAGGACAACCGCUCUAGGCCGAGAUCUCCGGUACAGGUCACAGACACGCGGCCGGUAGGUUUUUGGUUCCUCCUUCCGCAGACUGAGGAUCAGAGGAGGGAGCUGGAAUGCUCAGGGCCACACAGUGCUGCCUAAGUGGUAACACUUGAACUUGACCCAAGGAGGCAGGUCAAAGGGAGCUCUGUAAACACACAUAGCAAGUCCCGGCAGGAAGUAGACACUGGGAGGGCUGGGCUCCUGGGUAAACGUUCCAGGAAAGCCCAGCAGCUGGACGUCUGGGAGUGAUGACAUGGUAGUGUUUUGCUUCUUUUGCUUUUGCUUGUUUGUUUUGCUUUUUUUGUUUACCUAGUAGUAUUCAAAUAACAGUAUGUGUUAAUCAAGUGCUCCAUUGGGAGUCAGCUAAAUACAGAGCCAGCAGGGGGUAAAAAGAACCGGCCAGGGAACACAGGGGAGUCUUUGAAAACCUUAUGGAAAAGUGGAAUUUAAAGACAUUUAUUUUGGUGCAUAGAAAGAUCUGGAGCUCAUUCACAGCUUUUUCCUGAGGCAUAUUCUCCAUCAACUUGUUGAAGCCCCCACGGAGCAGGGCCCCUGGUUUCACCUUCCACCUGCUUCUGCAUGAGCCGCAGCCCAGCCGCUGGCGGUACAGGGACCAGAACCUUCGCCCCCGCCCAGGUGUCCUGAGAAGUGCUGUUGCAGGCCCCUUCCCAGACCUGCUCUUGAGCGAAGUCUCUGGAUGAUUCUUGUGCACAUCAAGGUUCUGGAAGCCUUGCGCAAGGGGACACAGGCAGAAGAAAAGGCAGAAUGUAAAAUCUCAGAAGAACCAGCUAGCUAUGUUUAGGAAAAAAUAAGAUGGAAUAAUCUCCCCCCGCCCACCUGGAAAAAUAUAAGGCAAUUUACCGGUUAGCUCAGGGGGAUAAUUUUUUUUCCUGGAAAAACUAAAUGCAGAUUCUGUUCAUCUGAAACAGAAUAAAGAAGAUGGAGACCUUUGAGUUGUCACAUUCUGUGGCACAAGAUUGGAACAAGUUACAUAAUAAUCAUCUCAACGCUCCUUUAUUCGGGACGGCUUCAGGUCGAUGCCCCCGCUUUGUGACAUCCCAAACCCUAGGACACCCAUGCUGUCACAGGAGGUCACCCCCGGAGGUGAACAGAAUUCACCAGGGCAGUCAGAGUGAUCGCUGAAACACACCGCGAGGGAGCAGCAGGCCUGCAGGCCAGUGGCCGGCUGACAACUCUGCGCCGUGGAUUAUGGUCCGGGAGGUCUGUGUCCGAGGGGCUUCCUUACUGCCAGGCGUCCAACUGACCUCCACACAUGUCAUUAAAAUUAUCACAUGUCCGCCAUACCUUAUGAGGGGGGCAGGGAGCUGGAGGGCUGGGGGCAGAGGACGGGACGCAGCAUCCGGCCCACGUCAGGGAAACUGAGGGAAGACCCUGGAACGGGAGGGGAUUAGGAAGUUGAGUCUAGCUGGGAUCUUGAGCAUCUGUGCCGUCCUUUUGCCCUGUCAUUUGAAUUUGGGGUAUCCCUAAACACAGCUAAUCCCUAAAUAUCCCUAAAUAAAGGAUAAUCUUGUUGACUAGGAGGUAUUUAUCUCUUUUCUUUUUUUUUAACUUUUAUUUAGUAAAUAUAAAUUUCCAAAGUACAGUUUAUGGAUUAUAAUGGC